AUCGCGGCGACGCAAGCGGUCCGCCACUCGCAACGUCGCGAGAAGUCCACUGAACCUUAUCAUUUAGAGGAAGGAGAAGUCGUAACAAGGUUUCCGUAGGUGAACCUGCGGAAGGAUCAUUA
rnacentral:rRNA from 1 species